rnacentral:tRNA from 1 species
GGAGCCGUAGUUCAAUUGGUUAGAGCACCGCCCUGUCAAGGCGGAAGUUGCGGGUUCGAUUCCCGUCGGUUCCG